rnacentral:rRNA from 1 species
AGCUCGUGUCGUGAGUAUGUUCGGUUAAGUCCGCUAACGAGCGCAACCCUCGCUGUGUGUUACAAGUGUCACACGGAACUGCCGGUCAUAAACCGGAGGAAGGUGGGGAUGACGUCAAGUCAGCAUGGCCUUUAUAUCCUGGGCUACACACACGCUACAAUGGGAAGGGACAAUAGGUUGCGAAGCCGCGAGGCGGAGCCAAUCCAGCAAAACUUCCCUCAGUUCAGAUUGCAGGCUGCAACUCGCCUGCAUGAAGUUGGAGUUGCUAGUAAACGCAGGUCAGCCAUACUGCGUUGAAUACGUUCCCGGGGCUU